CCGGCCUGGAAACCCCCAGGCUGCGAGGCCUAGAUUAAGGCCAAUUAGAUGUGUUGAAAUAUCAUGACAGAAUCCAUUCUUGUGGUAUUUCCAGCAGAGACCAGAAGUCAGAGCAGGUCCAGAUGGGAACGGUAUCUGCAGUUUUCCUCUUUGGGAG